AUUGAACGCUGGCGGCAUGCUUUACACAUGCAAGUCGAACGGCAGCGGGGGCUUCGGCCCGCCGGCGAGUGGCGAACGGGUGAGUAAUGCAUCGGAACGUGCCCAGUCGUGGGGGAUAACACAUCGAAAGAUGUGCUAAUACCGCAUACGUCCUGAGGGAGAAAGCGGGGAUCUUCGGACCUCGCGCGAUUGGAGCGGCCGAUGUCGGAUUAGCUAGUUGGUGGGUAAAGACCCACCAAGGCGACGAUCCGUAGCGGGUCUGAGAGGAUGAUCCGCCACACUGGGACUGAGACACGGCCCAGACUCCUACGGGAGGCAGCAGUGAGGAAUAUUGGUCAAUGGACGCAAGUCUGAACCAGCCACGUCGCGUGAAGGAAGACGGCCCUACGGUUGUAAACUUCUUUUAUACGGGAAUAAAGUGCCCCACGCGUGGGUUUUGCAUGUACCGUAUGAAUAAGGAUCGGCUAACUCCGUGCCAGCAGCCGCGGUAAAUCACACUA
rnacentral:rRNA from 1 species